ensembl:lncRNA
GGACGAGGUAGAAAAUGCUGCAAUUGUCAGAGCUCCGCAGACAUCCAUCAGAUCGCCUUUCUUCUCAUACAUCAAAGAACGAAAGUAGCAUAAUGCUGCCAUCUACAGGCGUAUAAAGUACUGAUUCUUGAACGUGAAAGGCUCGAGAACCGAAGGUAUUGAAGCUAUACGGCCGCAAGAGACGCAGGGACGAGAGAAGAGAACAAGCAAACAAAAAAAUAAAACAAUAACAACGAUACUUUUGGAAAGUUGGGGAUCAAAACACCAGCCGAGAGAGACAAAACAGGAGAGGGGAGGAAGAGAGGCAUCUGACAUGCGGUGACAGAUCGACAGACAAGCCGAGCCUGUCAGAGAGGUGCUCUUAGGGAACUUGAAACGAGGGCAUGAUUAGGAUCGGAGCAAAAGGAUCGGAGGACAGCAGCUCGCUAGGCACACGCUGUCUGGGUUUGUAAAGACUUGCAUAGCUUCAGCCCCGUCGCUGUGCUUCCCGUUUGCCUGCACUCGUGCAGGUGUACACAAUAACCUGCAUGACUUUUGGCACAGCUGCAUACUCGCAUGUGCCCACACACAUGCACUUUGCCAUGCAUAUGAAUUCCAACGUACCUGCAUUUGCUGCCCUGACAUGCUCACAAUGUGUGUGACUGUAUGUGUGUGUGUGUGUGUGUGUGUGUGUGUGUGUGUGUGUGUGUGUGUGUGUGUGUGUG